rnacentral:rRNA from 1 species
GACGAACGCUGGCGGCGUGCCUAAUACAUGCAAGUAGAACGCUGAAGAGAGGAGCUUGCUCUUCUUGGAUGAGUUGCGAACGGGUGAGUAACGCGUAGGUAACCUGCCUGGUAGCGGGGGAUAACUAUUGGAAACGAUAGCUAAUACCGCAUAAAAUUGAUUAUUGCAUGAUAAUUAAUUGAAAGAUGCAACUGCAUCACUACCAGAUGGACCUGCGUUGUAUUAGCUAGUUGGUGAGGUAACGGCUCACCAAGGCGACGAUACAUAGCCGACCCGAGAGGGUGAUCGGCCACACUGGGACUGGGACACGGCCCAGACUCCUACGGGAGGCAGCAGUAGGGAAUCUUCGGCAAUGGGGGGAACCCUGACCGAGCAACGCCGCGUGAGUGAAGAAGGUUUUCGGAUCGUAAAGCUCUGUUGUAAGAGAAGAACGGGUGUGAGAGUGGAAAGUUCACACUGUGACGGUAUCUUACCAGAAAGGGACGGCUAACUACGUG